CUGACAGCUGUCAAUUUCUGAUAAUUAUUUUGAUUUGGUUGCGAAAUAAAAGUUUUUUUCAAGUUAGUUUAUAAAAAAUGUGCAAAAGUUAGAUGAGAACAAUGAUAAUUAAUUAAUAAUCGGUCCAAUUCUGGAAAUGUGUUACCCCAUCCAGCUAAUGCCACAACCCAAAAUAUUGGUCGCUUGUCCCAAUAAGAAAAUAAUCAUAGCAAGCCCUCAAAAUUCUUACAAAUUCCAAAACCUACAAACCAUAACAACAUACAAAAACAACAGCAGCGGUCGAUCGAAUUCAACAACGCAAAAAAAAAUAAUAUUCAGGAAUAACCCCCAUAUAGCAGGACUGGGAGGAUAAUAGUUUUGUAUGUGGACACAUUACUUGUUCCAGCGACAAUUUUUUGGUGGUGACAAAAAGCACCCUCGAAGUAAUAAGACUAGAAGCUGAAUUAGAAUUAGAAGAAGUAGUCGGUUGCCAAAUGCCUUGGGGCGUCUUGAUGGGGUGUCCUUUAAAGUAUCCUAUUUUAGUGAAGCAUUUAAAGUUCGUACAAAAGAAUCAAAAGAUGAUUUUCCCAAUCGACACGAUUGGGAUAUAUUCUUUCGUGAUGCUCAUUACAUGGAUGAAAUGAAAGCUGGCGAAAGACCCGAGACAAUUCAUUUUGCAAAUCUACCAAUUCGUUGGUUUUGUCCACGUCACAGUGAAAAUGAUGAAAAUGUACAAAUUUCUACUUUUAUCUAAAUUUUUGUUUAAAUAUAAAUAAUUUAUGUAUAAAUGUGUAUUUAAAAUGUAGUUACGUUGCACUUGAUAAAUAUCUUUAAUCUUAUGUUUCAUUUUAAAUGCAAUGAUAUAUGUGCGUAUUGUUUUUUUUUUCAAAUAUCGAAUUGAGUCUACAUAAAAGUAAAUGCAUGUUUCUUUUGUGUAUAAUGCAGCAGGUCUUUAAACCACACCAGUUAAAGCUUAAACAAAAAAAUUACACAUAAAUCCCUAAUAAUUAUCUGUCUUUCAUAAUUACAAUAAAGUAAAAACUUAAAAUUAAUUUAAAUAAAUAAAAACAUAUCGAA